rnacentral:tRNA from 1 species
GCGAAAGUGGCGGAAUUGGCAGACGCGCUGGACUUAGGAUCCAGUGACCAUAGGUCUUAGGGGUUCAAGUCCCCUCUUUCGUACCA